rnacentral:rRNA from 1 species
UACGUAGGGGGCGAGCGUUGUCCGAAGUUACUGGGCGUAAAGCGCGCGUAGGCGGGUCGUUGCGUCGGCUGUGAAAACCCGCGGCUCAACUGUGGGCUUGCAGCUGAUACGGGCGGGCUGGAGUUCGGUAGGGGAGACUGGAAUUCCUGGUGUAGCGGUGAAAUGCGUAGAUAUCAGGAGGAACACCUGCGGUGUAGACGGCUUACUGGACCAUAACUGACGCUGAGGCACGAAAGCGUGGGUAGCAAACAGG